GCAAGUCGAACGGUAACAGAUCCUUCGGGAUGCUGACGAGUGGCGGACGGGUGAGUAACGCGUGGGAAUCUGCCUACUAGUGGGGGACAACUCGGGGAAACUCGGGCUAAUACCGCAUAACCCCUACGGGGGAAAGCGGGGGACCUUCGGGCCUCGCGCUAGUAGAUGAGCCCACGUCCGAUUAGCUAGUUGGUAGGGUAACGGCCUACCAAGGCGACGAUCGGUAGCUGGUCUGAGAGGACGAUC
rnacentral:rRNA from 1 species